AGUGAACGCUGGCGGUAGGCCUAACACAUGCAAGUCGAACGGCAGCACAGUAAGAGCUUGCUCUUACGGGUGGCGAGUGGCGGACGGGUGAGGAAUACAUCGGAAUCUACUUUUUCGUGGGGGAUAACGUAGGGAAACUUACGCUAAUACCGCAUACGACCUACGGGUGAAAGCAGGGGAUCUUCGGACCUUGCGCGAUUGAAUGAGCCGAUGUCGGAUUAGCUAGUUGGCGGGGUAAAGGCCCACCAAGGCGACGAUCCGUAGCUGGUCUGAGAGGAUGAUCAGCCACACUGGAACUGAGACACGGUCCAGACUCCUACGGGAGGCAGCAGUGGGGAAUAUUGGACAAUGGGCGCAAGCCUGAUCCAGCCAUACCGCGUGGGUGAAGAAGGCCUUCGGGUUGUAAAGCCCUUUUGUUGGGAAAGAAAAGCAGCAGGUUAAUACCCCGCUGUUCUGACGGGACUCAAAGAAUAAGCACCGGCGAACUUCGU
rnacentral:rRNA from 1 species